UAACGAUAAAGCGGGUGAAAAGCCCGCUCGCCGGAAGACCAAGGGUUCCUGUCCAACGUUAAUCGGGGCAGGGUGAGUCGACCCCUAAGGCGAGGCCGAAAGGCGUAGUCGAUGGGAAACAGGUUAAUAUUCCUGUACUUGGUGUUACUGCGAAGGGGGGACGGAGAAGGCUAUGUUGGCCGGGCGACGGUUGUCCCGGUUUAAGCGUGUAGGCUGGUUUUCCAGGCAAAUCCGGAAAACCAAGGCUGAGGCGUGAUGACGAGGCACUACGGUGCUGAAGUGACAAAUGCCCUGCUUCCAGGAAAAGCCUCUAAGCAUCAGGUAACAUCAAAUCGUACCCCAAACCGACACAGGUGGUCAGGUAGAGAAUACCAAGGCGCUUGAGAGAACUCGGGUGAAGGAACUAGGCAAAAUGGUGCCGUAACUUCGGGAGAAGGCACGCUGAUA
rnacentral:rRNA from 1 species